rnacentral:rRNA from 1 species
UACGAAGGGGGCUAGCGUUGUUCGGAAUUACUGGGCGUAAAGCGCACGUAGGCGGAUAUUUUAGUCAGGGGUGAAAUCCCAGAGCUCAACUCUGGAACUGCCUUUGAUACUGGGUAUCUCGAGUAUGGAAGAGGUGAGUGGAAUUCCGAGUGUAGAGGUGAAAUUCGUAGAUAUUGGGAAGAACACCCGUGGCGAAGGCGGUUCUCUGGGACGGUACUGACGCUGAGACGCGAAAGCGUGGGGAGCGAACAGG